AUUGAACGCUGGCGGCAUGCUUUACACAUGCAAGUCGAACGGUAACAGGUUAAGCUGACGAGUGGCGAACGGGUGAGUAAUGCAUCGGAACGUGCCCGGUCGUGGGGGAUAACGCAGCGAAAGCUGCGCUAAUACCGCAUACGAUCUGAGGAUGAAAGCGGGGGACCGUAAGGCCUCGCGCGAUCGGAGCGGCCGAUGUCAGAUUAGGUAGUUGGUGAGGUAAAGGCUCACCAAGCCAACGAGCUGUAGCUGGUCUGGGAGGACGACCAGCCACACGGGGCAUGAGACACGGCCAAGACUCCUAGGGGAGGCAGCGGUGGGGAAUUUUGGACAAUGGGCGAAAGCCUGAUCAAGCAAUGCCGCGUGCAGGAAGAAGGCCUUCGGUUUGUAAACUGCUUUUGUACGGAGCGAAAAGGCUCUCUCAUAUACGGGGGGCUCACGACGGUACCGAAAGAAUAAGCACCGGCUAACUACGUGCCAGCCGCCGCCGUAA
rnacentral:rRNA from 1 species